rnacentral:rRNA from 1 species
AGCGACAGGCUUAACACAUGCAAGUCGAGGGGCAGCAUGAGCUUAGCUUGCUAAGUUUGAUGGCGACCGGCGCACGGGUGAGUAACGCGUAUGCAACUUACCUAUCAGAGGAGAAUAGCUCAUCGAAAGAUGAAUUAAUGCUCCAUAAAACAGGGGUCCCGCAUGGGAAUAUUUGUUAAAGAUUCAUCGCUGAUAGAUAGGCAUGCGUUCCAUUAGGCAGUUGGCGGGGUAACGGCCCACCAAACCGACGAUGGAUAGGGGUUCUGAGAGGAAGGUCCCCCACAUUGGUACUGAGACACGGACCAAACUCCUACGGGAGGCAGCAGUGAGGAAUAUUGGUCAAUGGCCGAGAGGCUGAACCAGCCAAGUCGCGUGAAGGAUGAAGGAUCUAUGGUUUGUAAACUUCUUUUAUACGGGAAUAAAGUGAGCCACGUGUGACUUUUUGUAUGUACCGUAUGAAUAAGCAUCGGCUAACUCCGUGCCAGCAGCCGCGGUAAUACGGAGGAUGCGAGCGUUAUCCGGAUUUAUUGGGUUUAAAGGGUGCGUAGGUGGUCUUUUAAGUCAGCGGUGAAAGUUUGUGGCUCAACCAUAAAAUUGCCAUUGAAACUGGGAGACUUGAGUAUGUUUGAGGUAGGCGGAAUGCGUGGUGUAGCGGUGAAAUGCAUAGAUAUCACGCAGAACUCCGAUUGCGAAGGCAGCUUGCCAAGCCAUAACUGACACUGAAGCACGAAAGCGUGGGUAUCAAACAGGAUUAGAUACCCUGGUAGUCCACGCAGUAAACGAUGAUUACUAGGAGUUUGCGAUAUAAUGUAAGCUCUACAGCGAAAGCGUUAAGUAAUCCACCUGGGGAGUACGCCGGCAACGGUGCAACUCAAAUGAAUUGACGGA